rnacentral:tRNA from 1 species
GGCCCUGUAGUUCAACUGGAUAGAAUGGCAGAUUUCGGCUCUGCUGGUUGCAGGUUCGAAUCCUGCCAGGGUCACGA